rnacentral:tRNA from 1 species
GCUCCCGUAGCUCAGCAGGUCAGAGCAGCACUCUUAUACAGUGACGGCCGCAGGUUCAAGCCCUGCCGGGAGCA